rnacentral:tRNA from 1 species
GGGAAUGUGGCUUAGUGGUAGAGUGCUUGCCUCACAUGCAUGAAGCCCUGGGUUUGAUACCUCAUUACUA